rnacentral:rRNA from 1 species
GAUUGACCUCGAAUCAGGUAGGGAUACCCGCUGAACUUAAGCAUAUCAAUAAGCGGAGGAAAAGAAACCAACGGGGAUUGCCUCAGUAACGGCGAGUGAAGCGGCAACAGCUCAAAUUUGAAAUCUGGCCCCUUGCGGGGUCCGAGUUGUAAUUUGUAGAGGAUGCUUCGGGCAAGGCUUCGGUCUAAUUUGCUUGGAACAGCAAGUCACAGAGGGUGAGAAUCCCGUCUAGGAUCGGGUGUCACGUCCAUGUGAAGCUCCUUCGACGAGUCGAGUUGUUUGGGAAUGCAGCUCUAAAUGGGUGGUAAAUUUCAUCUAAAGCUAAAUAUUGGCCAGAGACCGAUAGCGCACAAGUAGAGUGAUCGAAAGAUGAAAAGCACUUUGAAAAGAGAGUUAAACAGUAUGUGAAAUUGUUGAAAGGGAAGCGCUUGCAACCAGACUUGGGGAUAACGGUUCCCYUUCGGCCUUCUGGCCAGGUCAUUCCGUUACGUCCAGGCCAGCAUCGGUUUGGGUGGUCGGUGAAAGAUCCCGGGAAUGUAUCUACCUUCGGGUCGACUUAUAGCCCGAGGUGCAAUGCGGCCUACCCGGACCGAGGAACGCGCUCCGGCUCGGAUGCUGGCGUAAUGGUUGUAAGCGGCCCGUCUUGAAACACGGACCAAGGAGUCUAACAUCUAUGCGAGUGUUUGGGUGCCAAACCCCUACGCGUAAUGAAAGUGAACGGAGGUAAGAACCCUGUCAAGGGCGCAUUAUCGACCGAUCCUGAUGUCUUCGGAUGGAUUUGAGUAAGAGCAUAGCUGUUGGGACCCGAAAGAUGGUGAACUAUGCCUGAAUAGGGUGAAGCCAGAGGAAACUCUGGUGGAGGCUCGCAGCGGUUCUGACGUGCAAAUCGAUCGUCAAAUUUGGGCAUAGGGGCGAAAGACUAAUCGAACCAUUGGAAGCGACAAGCAUAGUGGGCUGCCCGGGUGGUUCUCAAUCAGUCCUUUGGGGCUACAUCGUCCUUCUGGCGGGAUCAACACCCGCAGCAGUUGCGGCUG